CAGUAGCCGCGGGAACACCAGCACCUCGAGUGGUCAGGAGGUUUAUUGGGCCUAAAGCAUCCGUAGCCGGUUGCAUAAGUUUUCGGUUAAAUCUAUGCGCUUAACGUAUAGGCCGCCGAAAAUACUGUGCAGCUAGGGAGUGGGAGAGGUACACGGUACUCGAUAGGAAGGGGUAAAAUCCUUUGAUCUAUUGAUGACCACCUGUGGCGAAGGCGGUGUACCAGAACACGUUCGACGGUGAGGGAUGAAAGCUGGGGGAGCAAACGGGAUUAGAUACCCCCGUAGUCCCUGUCUCUUAUAC
rnacentral:rRNA from 1 species